rnacentral:rRNA from 1 species
AUGUCGGCGAGCGGCGGACGGCUGAGUAACGCGUAGGAAUUUGCCCCAAAGUGAGGAAUAACUGCCCGAAAGGGUAGCUAAUGCCGCAUAUGGUCUUCGGAUUAAAGCCUUCGGGCGCUUUGGGAGAAGCCUGCGUUGGAUUAGGUAGUUG